rnacentral:rRNA from 1 species
GAUGAACGCUGGCGGCGUGCCUAAUACAUGCAAGUCGAGCGAAUGGAUUAAGAGCUUGCUCUUAUGAAGUUAGCGGCGGACGGGUGAGUAACACGUGGGUAACCUGCCCAUAAGACUGGGAUAACUCCGGGAAACCGGGGCUAAUACCGGAUAACAUUUUGAACCGCAUGGUUCGGCAUUGAAAGGCGGCUUCGGCUGUCACUUAUGGAUGGACCCGCGUCGCAUUAGCUAGUUGGUGAGGUAACGGCCCACCAAGGCAACGAUGCGUAGCCGACCUGAGAGGGUGAUCGGCCACACUGGGACUGAGACACGGCCCAGACUCCUACGGGAGGCAGCAGUAGGGAAUCUUCCGCAAUGGACGAAAGUCUGACGGAGCAACGCCGCGUGAGUGAUGAAGGCUUUCGGGUCGUAAAACUCUGUUGUUAGGGAAGAACAAGUGCUAGUUGAAUAAGCUGGCACCUUGACGGUACCUAACCAGAAAGCCACGGCUAACUACGUGCCAGCCGCCGCCGUAA